UCACAUCUUACGACGGCAGUCUCAAUAGAGUCCUCAGCAUGACCUGCUAGUAACUAUCGAUAAGGGUUGCGCUCGUUAUGGCACUUAAGCCGACACCUCACGGCACGAGCUGACGACAACCAUGCAGCACCUUCACAACUGUCCGAAGAAAGAACCGUUUCCGGUUCAGUCAGUUGCAAUUUAAGCCCGGGUAAGGUUCCUCGCGUAUCAUCGAAUUAAACCACAUGUUCCUCCGCUUGUGCGGGCCCCCGUCAAUUCCUUUGAGUUUCACCGUUGCCGGCGUACUCCCCAGGUGGAAUACUUAAUGCUUUCGCUUGGCCGCUGACUGUAUAUCGCCAACAGCGAGUAUUCAUCGUUUACUGUGUGGACUAC
rnacentral:misc_RNA from 1 species